rnacentral:rRNA from 1 species
GAUGAACGCUGGCGGCGUGCCUAACACAUGCAAGUCGAGCGAGGAAAGAUAGCUUGCUAUCAAUCCUAGCGGCGGACGGGUGAGUAACGCGUGGGUAACCUGCCCUAUACACAUGGAUAACAUACCGAAAGGUAUGCUAAUACAAGAUGAAACAUUGAUAAGGCAUCUUAUUAAUGUCAAAGCCUUGGCGGUAUAGGAUGGGCCCGCGUCCCAUUAGUUAGUUGGUGAGGUAACGGCUCACCAAGGCCACGAUGGGUAGCCGACCUGAGAGGGUGAUCGGCCACACUGGAACUGAGACACGGUCCAGACUCCUACGGGAGGCAGCAGUGGGGAAUAUUGCACAAUGGGCGAAAGCCUGAUGCAGCAACGCCGCGUGAGCGAUGAAGGCCUUCGGGUCGUAAAGCUCUGUCCUCAAGGAAGAAUUUUGACGGUACUUGAGGAGGAAGCCCCGGCUAACUACGUGCCAGCCGCCGCGGUAAGAC